rnacentral:lncRNA from 1 species
GAAAAGGAAAGAACAAGAACACAUUGGAAAAAAGCUCUCGCCAUCCACAUGAGACACAUGGAUAAUGGAUCACCAAAAAGCCAAACAGAUCAGUUUCAGCUCAGGCUGCUUGAGCUCUCCCAAGGUGAAUGGAUGCAUCAUUUUUGCUGAAGCAUUUUGUGAACUGAGAUGGUUCUAUCCUCAUUAGUAGUUAUGCAAGGUCUGUAUGAGUAUUAGCGAGCAUGGCAAGUACACAACUGGACAGAAGUUAGCUACUUUGGUUCUUUCACUGGACAAAGAUUCAACUUGAAAAUGAUUUACAGCUGAUGAAUCUGCUCUUUUCUGCCACUUACUCAAUAACUAGACACCCUGCUUCAUAGAAAGGGAAAAAGAAAUGGUCUUGCAAUGAAAUCCACAGUUGGCAUUAACCUGUGUCAGCAUAAGAAGAAUGUGAAGGGCGAAAUGAACAUUAAAGCUGUUCGGCUCACUGGAAACCAAGUUCCUUGUUAAUGAGUUACAACCAUAAAGCACUUGUGAGCCAUACCACCCUGUUUCAUUUCCUCCUCCCCCGAGUCGCUCUGCUGUGACCAUGAGUUGCUAUUGGAAGUGGGGACAGGCAGCCAGGAUACCAAAAUGAAAUGGAAUAAACUCCCUUUGCAGAAGAGUUAAAGUAGUACUGACUACAAAGAGGCA